GGACGCCGAGGGGCGCGCGCCCCUCUCCGCGCGCGCACGCUCGCUCGCUCGCUCCCUCGCUCGCGCCGGCCGGCGGCUUCCCCGCCUGCGCUCCCGGUCGGAGCCACUCCGGCGCGUGCGCGCGUGGUCUCGGGCCGACCCGAGUGGCCGGGUUCUCUGGGCUCCAGGCCCCCGCCGCCCCCUCCCCGGCUCCCAGCCAACCCGUCCCUCCCUUUCCUCACGGAAUGGGGCCGGCGCUGCUCGGGGUCGCGCGUCCUGGACCCGGCUCGCGCUCGGUCUCGCGCUGUCAGCCGCUGCCUGGCUCGCGCCGCCUUGCGCUUUCCCUCAGUCAGUGGCGCCGAAGGCUCCGUUAAGCGGCGGCCGCGGUUCCUGUUUCCGUUUCUUCCUCUCCCUUCAGUCGGGAGUAGCAUCCUCCACCCCAGCACCCCUCCCACUCUCCCGCCGCGGCCAGCUGCAGCUGGAGGCAGCGGCGGCGGCGACGGGGGACGGCGCCGACCGCCUCGCUCCCGCCUCGGGUUGCUGUUCUGGCUGAGGCCAUCUAUGGCCCUGGUAGUGUUUUCAUUCAAGACAAAGUCCAUUCCAUCUUUAUUUAUUAGCUGAGCAAAUUCAGCUAAUAAUUUUCAAGACCCAGAUUCAAGCAAUAAAACAUUUCUCUGCAAUACCAUGUGGUUUUCUUCAACAUCAUAAUUCUAUGGGGAGGAAGCAUGUAGGAUCCAUGAAGCACAGGACAUUCAAGCCUCCCGCCCGCGUCACCAGGAAGAUCUCUUUGUAAGAAUAACCACAGGAUUGAUUUCCAGAGAGAUUAGCCUGUCUGAAGCAUUAUGUGUUGAAGCAAAAGAAACCUAUUUUCUUGUGUGGCUAACUAGAACCAGAGUACAAUGUUUCCAGUUCUUUGAGCUCCAGGAAGAUAGAGGACAGAGUUGAAACUCUGAAAAUGCGGGCAUGGACUGGUUCCUGGCGUUGGAUUAUGCUCAUUCUUUUUGCCUGGGGGACCUUGUUAUUUUAUAUAGGUGGUCAUUUGGUUCGAGAUAAUGACCACCCUGAUCACUCCAGCAGAGAACUCUCCAAGAUUCUUGCAAAGCUUGAACGCUUAAAACAGCAAAAUGAAGACUUGAGGCGAAUGGCUGAGUCUCUCCGAAUACCAGAAGGCCCCAUUGACCAGGGGACAGCUACAGGAAGAGUCCGUGUUUUAGAAGAACAGCUUGUUAAGGCCAAAGAACAGAUUGAAAAUUACAAGAAACAAGCUAGAAAUGGUCUGGGGAAGGAUCAUGAAAUCUUAAGAAGGAGGAUUGAAAAUGGAGCUAAAGAGCUCUGGUUUUUUCUACAAAGCGAACUGAAGAAAUUAAAGCAUUUAGAAGGAAAUGAACUCCAAAGACAUGCAGAUGAAAUUCUUUUGGAUUUAGGACACCAUGAAAGGUCUAUCAUGACAGAUCUAUACUACCUCAGUCAAACAGAUGGAGCAGGGGAUUGGCGUGAAAAAGAGGCCAAAGAUCUGACAGAGCUGGUCCAGCGGAGAAUAACAUAUCUCCAGAAUCCUAAGGACUGCAGCAAAGCCAGGAAGCUGGUGUGUAACAUCAAUAAAGGCUGUGGCUAUGGUUGUCAACUCCAUCACGUGGUCUACUGUUUCAUGAUUGCUUAUGGCACCCAGCGAACACUCAUCUUGGAAUCUCAGAAUUGGCGCUAUGCUACUGGUGGAUGGGAGACUGUGUUUAGACCUGUAAGUGAGACAUGUACAGACAGAUCUGGCCUCUCCACUGGACACUGGUCAGGUGAAGUAAAUGACAAAAACAUUCAAGUGGUCGAGCUCCCCAUUGUAGACAGCCUCCAUCCUCGGCCUCCUUACUUACCACUGGCUGUUCCAGAAGACCUUGCAGACCGACUCCUAAGAGUCCAUGGUGACCCUGCAGUGUGGUGGGUGUCCCAGUUUGUCAAAUACUUGAUUCGUCCACAACCUUGGCUGGAAAAGGAAAUAGAAGAAGCCACCAAGAAGCUUGGCUUCAAACAUCCAGUUAUUGGAGUCCAUGUCAGACGCACAGACAAAGUGGGAACAGAAGCAGCCUUCCACCCCAUCGAGGAGUACAUGGUACACGUUGAAGAACAUUUUCAGCUUCUCGCACGCAGAAUGCAAGUGGAUAAAAAAAGAGUAUAUCUGGCUACUGAUGAUCCUACUUUGUUAAAGGAGGCAAAGACAAAGUACUCCAAUUAUGAAUUUAUUAGUGAUAACUCUAUUUCUUGGUCAGCUGGACUACACAAUCGGUACACAGAAAAUUCACUUCGGGGUGUGAUCCUGGAUAUACACUUUCUCUCACAGGCUGACUUUCUAGUGUGUACUUUUUCAUCCCAGGUCUGUCGGGUUGCUUAUGAAAUCAUGCAAACCCUGCAUCCUGAUGCCUCUGCGAACUUCCAUUCUUUGGAUGACAUCUACUAUUUUGGAGGCCAAAAUGCCCACAAUCAGAUUGCUGUUUAUCCUCACAAACCUCGAACUGAAGAGGAAAUUCCAAUGGAACCUGGAGAUAUCAUUGGUGUGGCUGGAAACCAUUGGGAUGGUUAUUCUAAAGGUAUCAACAGAAAACUUGGAAAAACAGGCUUAUAUCCCUCCUACAAAGUCCGAGAGAAGAUAGAAACAGUCAAGUAUCCCACAUAUCCUGAAGCUGAAAAAUAGAGAUGAAGUAGAAGAGAUUAACAACAGAACUCACUUCAGACCAUCUCGGCCAAGCAGAAGACGCAGACUAACACGUGGUUCAUUGAUAGACACGCUCCACACCAAGAGCAAGCGGGAACCCUCAGAUGCUGCACUGGUGGAACGCCUCUUUAUGAAGGGCUGUGGUGCCCUCAAGCCCAUACACAGUACAAUAAUGUACUCACACAUAACACGCAAAGGGAUUAUUUUCUACUUUGCCCCUUUAAAUAUUAUGUCCCCAUUGAACAAACACUGCCACAUUGUGUAAUUUAAGUGACACAGACAUUUUGUGUGAGACUUAAAACAUGGUGCCUAUAUCUGAGAGACCUCUGUGACUUACCGAGAAGAUGUGAACAGCUCCCUUCUCUGGGGAAGCUGGUGGUGGUGUGGCCACUGAAUUCACUCCAGUCAACAGAUUCAAAAUGAGAAUGGAUGUUUUUCCUUUAUAUGGUUGUCUGGAUUUUUUUUUAAGUAAUUUCAUCAGUUCAGUUUAUCCACCUCAUCAUUAAUAAAUGAAGGAUGCAUCAAUAAAAUAAAAUGAAAUAUUCACUCUCCAUUAGGAAGUUUUGUAAAACAAUGCCAUGAACAAAUUCUUUAGUACUCAAUGUUUCUGGACAUUCUCUUUGAUAACAAAAAAAUAAAUUUCAAAAAGGAAUUUUGUG